rnacentral:rRNA from 1 species
GGUUGGUCAUGUGAAGGUAUCAAAUCCUGAAUUCAUAGGGGUUUGAAGCGAACCCGGGGAACUGAAACAUCUCAGUACCCGGAGGAAAGGACAUCAACGAGACUCCGUCAGUAGUGGCGAGCGAACGCGGAUCAGGCCAGUGCCUGUGUUGAGUUUACCGGAACGGUCUGGAAAGGCCGGCACGAUGGGUGAUAGCCCCGUACGGGACGGACGAUACGCAGGACUCGAGUAGGGCGGGACACGUGAAAUCCUGUCUGAACAUGGGGGGACCACCCUCCAAGCCUAAGUACUCCUCAGCGACCGAUAGCGAACCAGUACCGUGAGGGAAAGGUGAAAAGCACCCCGACGAGGGGAGUGAAACAGCACCUGAAACCGGAUGCUUACAAACAGUGGGAGCCCAAGGUUCGUCCUGGGUGACCGCGUACCUUUUGUAUAAUGGGUCAGCGACUUAAAGUUACGAGCGAGCUUAAGCCGAUAGGUGGAGGCGCAGCGAAAGCGAGUCUGAACAGGGCGUUCAGUUCGUGGCUUUAGACCCGAAACCGAGUGAUCUAGCCAUGUGCAGGAUGAAGGUGGGGUAACACCCACUGGAGGUCCGAACCAGUGCCCGUUGAAAAGGUCUUGGAUGACGUGUGGCUAGGGGUGAAAGGCCAAUCAAACUCGGAAAUAGCUGGUUCUCCGCGAAAGCUAUUUAGGUAGCGCCUCGAGUGAAUACCUCACGGGGUAGAGCACUGGAUGGGCUAGGGCCGCCCACAGCGGUACCAAACCCAACCAAACUCCGAAUACGUGAGAGUACUGCUCGGGAGACACACGGCGGGUGCUAACGUCCGUCGUGGAGAGGGAAACAACCCUGACCGACAGCUAAGGCCCCCAAUUCGUGGCUAAGUGGGAAAGGAUGUGGGACUCCCAAAACAACCAGGAGGUUGGCUUAGAAGCAGCCAUCCUUUAAAGAAAGCGUAACAGCUCACUGGUCUAAAUAAGGGGUCCUGCGCCGAAAAUGUAACGGGGCUCAAGCCACGAGCCGAAGCUUCGGGUGUGUUCGUCUUCGGAUUGAACACGCGGUAGCGGAGCGUUCCCUAGGCCUGCGAAGGAAGACCCGUGAGGGCUUCUGGAGGUAUGGGAAGUGCGAAUGCUGACAUGAGUAACGACAAAGAGUGUGAAAGACACUCUCGCCGAAAGUCCAAGGGUUCCUGCGUAAAGUUAAUCUGCGCAGGGUUAGCCGGCCCCUAAGGCGAGGCCGAAAGGCGUAGUCGAUGGGAACGGGGCGAACAUUCCCCGGCCAGCGGAUGGUGACGGAUGCCGUAAAUCGUUCGAGCUUAUCGGAUUGCUCGGGCGGUGAAGGGGUCCCAGGAAAUAGCCUCCGCGUGAGACCGUACCCGAAACCGACACAGGUGGACUGGUAGAGUAUACCAAGGCGCUUGAGAGAACGAUGCUGAAGGAACUCGGCAAUUUGCUCCGUAACUUCGGGAUAAGGAGGCUCUGUCUUACGCAAGUAGGGCAGAGGGGCACAGACCAGGGGGUGGCGACUGUUUAUCUAAAACACAGGGCUCUGCGAAGUCUGUAAGACGACGUAUAGGGCCUGACGCCUGCCCGGUGCCGGAAGGUUAAGAGGAGAGGUGAGAGCUUUGAAUCGAAGCCCCGGUAAACGGCGGCCGUAACUAUAACGGUCCUAAGGUAGCGAAAUUCCUUGUCGGGUAAGUUCCGACCUGCACGAAUGGCGUAACGAUCUCCCCGCUGUCUCCAGCAUCGGCUCAGUGAAAUUGAAUUCCCCGUGAAGAUGCGGGGUUCCUGCGGUCAGACGGAAAGACCCCGUGCACCUUUACUGUAGCUUUGCGCUGGCCUUCGUGUCGGCAUGUGUAGGAUAGGUGGUAGGCUUUGAAGCCGGGGCGUCAGCCCUGGUGGAGCCGUCCUUGAAAUACCACCCUUGGCGAUAUGGUGGUCUAACCGCGACCCUUGAUCGGGGUCCGGGACCGCGCAUGGCAGGCAGUUUGACUGGGGCGGUCGCCUCCCAAAGCGUAACGGAGGCGUACGAAGGUGGGCUCAGAGCGGUCGGAAAUCGCUCGUCGCGUGCAAUGGCAUAAGCCCGCUUGACUGCGAGACAGACACGUCGAGCAGAGACGAAAGUCGGUCAUAGUGAUCCGGUGGUCCCGCGUGGGUGGGCCAUCGCUC